GUAGGUGGCAAGCGUUGUCCGGAAUUAUUGGGCGUAAAGCGCGCGCAGGUGGUUCUUGAAGUCUGAUGUGAAAGCCCCCGGCUCAACCGGGGAGGGUCAUUGGAAACUGGGGAACUUGAGUGCAGGAGAGGAAAGUGGAAUUCCACGUGUAGCGGUGAAAUGCGUAGAUAUGUGGAGGAACACCAGUGGCGAAGGCGACUUUCUGGCCUGUAACUGACACUGAGGCGCGAAAGCGUGGGGAGCAAACAGGGAUUAGAUACCCUGGUAGUCCACGCCGUAAACGAUGAGUGCUAAGUGUUGGGGGGGUUUCCGCCCCCUCAGUGCUGCAGCUAACGCAUUAAGCACUCCGCCUGGGAGUACGGUCGCAAGACUG
rnacentral:rRNA from 1 species